UAUCACUAGCGUACCGUAUGGUACAACUACACCAUAUAUUGUGUAUGCAGGACAGGGAAGUUGGGUGUAUAUGCCCACGCGGUCCCGCCGCUGUGAAGGUGAGGAGCUGCCGAGAUACCACUGGAAGAAUCCGGGAAGGUGGCAGUAUUCCGAGGAACCUGAGCCAGAAGACCUCCCUGCAUAGACACGCCGCC
rnacentral:ncRNA from 2 species